UGCCAGACUCCUACGGGAGGCAGCAGUGGGGGAUAUUGCACAAUGGGGGGAACCCUGAUGCAGCGACGCCGCGUGGGUGAAGGAGCGUUUCGGCGCGUAAAGCCCUCUCGGCAGGGAAGAAGGAGGACGGUACCUGACUAAGAAGCCCCGGCUAACUACGUGCCAGCAGCCGCGGUAAUACGUGGGGGGCGAGCGUUAUCCGGAUUCACUGGGUGUAAAGGGAGCGUAGACGGCAUGGCAAGUCAGAUGUGAAAGCCCGGGGCUCAACCCCGGGACUGCAUUUGAAACUGUCAGGCUGGAGUGCAGGAGAGGUAAGUGGAAUUCCUAGUGUAGCGGUGAAAUGCGUAGAUAUUAGGAGGAACACCAGUGGCGAGGGCGGCUUACUGGACUGUAACUGACGUUGAGGCUCGAAAGCGUGGGGAGCAAACAGGAUUAGAUACCCCGGUAC
rnacentral:rRNA from 1 species